rnacentral:rRNA from 1 species
GACGAACGCUGGCGGCGUGCUUAACACAUGCAAGUCGAACGGAAAGGCCCUGCUUUUGUGGGGUGCUCGAGUGGCGAACGGGUGAGUAACACGUGAGUAACCUGCCCUUGACUUUGGGAUAACUUCAGGAAACUGGGGCUAAUACCGGAUAGGAGCUCCUGCUGCAUGGUGGGGGUUGGAAAGUUUCGGCGGUUGGGGAUGGACUCGCGGCUUAUCAGCUUGUUGGUGGGGUAGUGGCUUACCAAGGCUUUGACGGGUAGCCGGCCUGAGAGGGUGACCGGCCACAUUGGGACUGAGAUACGGCCCAGACUCCUACGGGUGGCAGCGGUGGGGAAUAUUGCACAAUGGGCGGAAGCCUGAUGCAGCAACGCCGCGUGCGGGAUGACGGCCUUCGGGUUGUAAACCGCUUUCGCCUGUGACGAAGCGUGAGUGACGGUAAUGGGUAAAGAAGCACCGGCUAACUACGUG